UACUUGAUCUUAUCAACAUCGUUAACUUUCGUUACCUUGAAAACCAUGCUUUAGUUUUAGUCUUAGCAAUCAUUCUUGAGAUUUAGGCUUUAUUUUCUUGGGCUAAUUAUACGAUCUAAUUCUACAUUGCUGUUUUUUUUAAAUCUAAUUUAACAUGAUUCGUAUGCAAAGAGCUGGGGGGGAUGGUGAGGAGGACAAGAAAAAGAUGGAGGAAGAAGUCAGACUGGCUCGUCUCUGUACAGUACAAAAUAUUUUAGCCUUUGGAUUUUUCUGUGGUUUAAUCAGAGCAGCACCCUGGCUUGUUAAACAGUUCAGUUAGUUGCUGCAUUGGAUCUGACUGUGAUAGGAUUCAGUUUCUGUUGAAUGGGACAUUCUAGAGUCAUUUGAGUGGACUGUUUUUUGACUGUGUUAGCAUUAUGUUCAUAAAUGUUCAUCCUGACCAUUUCAUAUUGUAGAAUAAAUUUUUUGUAUUCCUAUGAA
rnacentral:sRNA from 1 species